rnacentral:rRNA from 1 species
AGAAUGCGGUAGAGGUAAAGGGAAUUCCUGGUGUAGCGGUGAAAUGCGUAGAUAUCAGGAGGAACAUCGGUGGCGUAAGCGCUUUACUGGGCCGUUAUUGACACUGAGGAACGAAAGCCGGGGUAGCAAAUGGGAUUAGAUACCCCAGUAGUCCCGGCCGUAAACGAUGGAUACUAGGUGUUGCGGGUAUCGACCCCUGCAGUGCCGUAGCUAACGCGAUAAGUAUCCCGCCUGGGGAGUACGCACGCAAGUGUGAAACUCAAAGGAAUUGACGGGGACCCGCACAAGCGGUGGAACAUGUGGUUUAAUUCGAAGCAACGCGAAGAACCUUACCAGGGCUUGACAUCUGACGAACCUUUGUGAAAGCAGAGGGUGCUCUUCGGAGAGCGUCAAGACAGGUGGUGCACGGUUGUCGUCAGCUCGUGUCGUGAGAUGUUGGGUUAAGUCCCGCAACGAGCGCAACCCUCGUUGUUAGUUGCAUAUGUCGGUAUACUGACAUAGUGCUCUCUAACAAGACUGCCGGUGAUAAACCGGAGGAAGGUGGGGACGACGUCAAAUCAUCAUGCCCCUUAUGCUCUGGGCUACACACGUGUUACAAUGGCUGGUACAACGAGUCGCCAACUCGCGAGAGUGAGCAAAUCUCUUAAAACCAGUCUCAGUUCGGAUUGCACUCUGCAACUCGAGUGCAUGAAGUCGGAAUCGCUAGUAAACGCAGAUCAGCACGCUGCGUUGAAUACGUUCCCGGGUCUUGUACACACCGCCCGUCACACCAUGGAAGUCGACCACGCCCGAAGUACGUGAGCUAACCGUAAGGAAGCAGCGUCCUAAGGCAGGGUUGGUGACUGGGGUGAAGUCGUAACAAGGUAGCCGUACCGGAAGGUGUGGCUG